rnacentral:tRNA from 1 species
GCUGCCAUAGCUCAGUAGGUAGAGCAUGCCCUUGGUACGGGUAAGACACAGGUUCGAGACCUGUUGGCAGCA